UACGUAGGGGGCAAGCGUUGUCCGGAAUUAUUGGGCGUAAAGAGCGUGUAGGCGGCCAGACAGGUCCGUUGUGAAAACUGGAGGCUUAACCUUCAGACGUCGAUGGAAACCGUCGGGCUAGAGUCCGGAAGAGGAGAGUGGAAUUCCUGGUGUAGCGGUGAAAUGCGCAGAUAUCAGGAAGAACACCCGUGGCUAAGGCGGCUCUCUAGUACGGUACUGACGCUGAGACGCGAAAGCGUGGGGAGCGAACAGG
rnacentral:rRNA from 1 species